rfam:Triticum aestivum genome assembly, contig: Triticum_aestivum_CS42_TGACv1_scaffold_405389_5BL
UUAGUACUCCCUCCGUCUCAAAAUUCUUGCCUUAGAUUUGUUCAAAUGCGGAUGUAUCUAGUUACGUUUUAGUGUUAGAUACAUCCGUAUCUGAACAAAUUUAAGACAAGAAUUUUGGGACGGAGGGAGUACAAA